rnacentral:rRNA from 1 species
CCUACGGGCGGCUGCAGUGAGGAAUAUUGGUCAAUGGGCGGAAGCCUGAACCAGCCAAGUAGCGUGCGGGAUGAAGGCCCUACGGGUCGUAAACCGCUUUUGCACGGGGCUAACACCCUCCACUUGUGGAGGUCUGCAGGUACCGUGCGAAUAAGGGCCGGCUAAUUCCGUGCCAGCAGCCGCGGUAAUACGGAAGGACCGAGCGUUAUCCGGAUUCAUUGGGCUUAAAGGGAGCGUAGGCGGGCGUUCAAGUCAGCUGUAAAAUUGCGCGGCUCAACCGCGCCCCGCAGUUGAAACUGGACGCCUUGAGUGCACAACAGGCAGGCGGAAUUCGUGGUGUAGCGGUGAAAUGCAUAGAUAUCACGAGGAACCCCGAUUGCGAAGGCAGCCUGCCGGGGUGCGACUGACGCUGAGGCUCGAAGGUGCGGGUAUCAAACAGGAUUAGAUACCCGAGUAGUC